GAGCCAGCAAUUCAAAAGGUCGAAUCAACUACAAUUCACUCACCCACAGAGAUCAGUGAGUCCGGUGAUGAUCAACAAAAAGUGAUAUUGACGAUCAGGGAUCUUGUAGAGAUAUUACGAGUGCUAAAAAAUGGUCACUUUCAAACUACAAAAUGGUUUAAUCUUGGUCUCUACUUGGGUCUGUUUCAUGAUGAUUUGAAGAUUAUUGAGGAUAAUUAUCCACGAGAUGCUGAACGAUGUCUUAGAGAAUGUUUAGCAAAAUGGGUCAGAGAUGAUACUGAAGCAACAUGGGACAAAUUAGCUAUUGCUGUUGGUGAAGUAGGAGAUACAACAGUUGCUGAUUAUAUAAGAUCAACAAAAGAGCUUUAAUGGUAUGCCAGGAUUUCAAAUUAAUUAAAACUAUAAUUACAUUAGAAUAAACUUACAAUUAUUAGUAGUUGCUUUUUUAGUGUGCAAUGCUUAAUCUGCUGGGAAUAUAGUUCUUAAGUAGUUAUUAUACCAUUCUUUAUGUAAUUAGCUACUUUAUUAUAGUUGAAUUAUAAUUUAAAAUUUGA